AUUCUACUCCCUCCGUUGCACAAUACAUGCCUUCUAUUUGUCAAAAUAUAUAUGUAUCUAGACAUGUUUUAGUAUAUAGGUACAUCCAUUUUUGGACAAAUGGAAGUCAAGUAUUUUGGAACGAAGGAAGUACACA
rnacentral:pre_miRNA from 1 species